ACUCAGGUAGCUUAAAUAAAGAGCACCACAUUGAAGAUGUGGUGGUGGUAAGAUUACCUCUGGGUG
rnacentral:tRNA from 1 species